rnacentral:SRP_RNA from 1 species
UCGUGCUAGGUGGGGAGGUAGCGGUGCCCUGUAACCCGCAAUCCGCUAUAGCGGGACGGAAUUCCUCAUGUUGAGGCCCCCACCGGGUGGAAGGUUUCUCCCGUAUUCAGCCUUGAAGGUUGGGUCCUGUGCCACGAGGCGUUGUGAACCCGGUCAGGUCCGGAAGGAAGCAGCCGUAAGCAACUCUCCUCGGGGGCCGCAGGAGUGCCUGAUCUGAGCUGGGUACGGGCAGCGGCGUUUCUCCCGGUAGGUCGAGACGGGGUGCACGG